rnacentral:lncRNA from 1 species
AGUGAUGCCCGGAGCCACUCCUAGGUAUUACAUUUAAUCAGUCUGGGCAUCAACACUGAAAAAUCUCCCAGGUGAAUCUAAUGUGCAAUCAGGGCUGAGAACCACUGAUUAAGCCCAUAUGGUGGUGCUCAGCAAGUGGCAGAAGACUGAGGAGCUUGGCUCACCUUCAGUCUUGGGCUCAGAGAGAAGCAGAGUCCUGACCUCCUUGCCCCAACUGGCCACUCCGGGGCUGGGAUAAGAUGAGCCCUUGGAAGUAGUUCCUAUUCAGGGAGUUUUCUGGUUAGAACUGAUCCCAUCUCUAGAGGCCAAGUCAAAGAUAAAGGAUUUGAGGAAAGACAGAAACUGUCAGCCAUUUUUUUUGCUUAAUACGGAUCCAUCCUCAAGCAAACAAGAGCUCAGCUACUUGUUUGAAUGAAAGGAUUGAAGCAAACUGAUUCUCACUAAAGUCUGGAUGACUGAGCCCUGCCCAUACCCCAGCAUUCUGGGAUUUGAAAAGAGGCCAUUUGCUGUCCUAGGAUAUCUUUGGUUUGUAGCAUUCCAGUUUAUCUUGACUCCAGUCCCUAAGCUAUUCCCAGGAAAAAUGGAGCAUUGCCAUGUGUCUCCCCAUCUCCAGGCCCUGAAAGAUUGCCUGCCAUUCUCAGGGAGAGGGUGUACAAAUUGGACUCCAGUGGAGACCGGCUCGGGAUGUUGGAUGAGUCUCUGACAGAGGAUAUGAAUCUUGGUCCCAGGUCCUGGUGAAGGAUGGUGGGGCUGACAGGCCUACAUCAAACACGCCUCUGUUCUGGGGGAGCCAUCACUCACCCCUCUGAACUCUGGUGGCACAUGCUAAUGAGGGUCCAGCUCAUAGACCAUCCCUGCCCAAAGGCUGGGGGUGGGGAGGGGGCUCAGCCUCUUGGCAGAUGCAGAAAGGGCAGCCCUCGGCAGAAUUGUGAAGGAGACAGCAUCUAGCUCGGCCCUCUCCCUACUUUCUAAGAGUCUCCAUUUUCUUUUUCUUACCUUCCUCUGCCUCUGCUUCACCUUCCUAGUCGUUUAUCCUUCCUAAGGGUGUGGACUCCUUUCUCAAAUGCUAACUAAAUGCUAUUAAGAAUUUGCAUGUGUUAUUCAUUUCUCUUGGUAGCUUUUAUGUUUAUGUGGUCUCCUAGGCAUAGGACGAAUACUUGACCUAAGGAACAAAUGGCUGAUUGUCACAUUACAGGCACCUGCUAGGAAAUGAUCUUGAGAGCCUUUAUGAAAAUGGAAGUUCCCUUUUUAUCAGUGGGUGGUCCUGUCAGCUGAGGGGGAACUGAACACAGAUGAUGAUGAUGCUGAUGAUGAUGAUGAUGAAGAGGACACCAAGAUGAGGGCAAAUUAACAUCUAUUAAGUGCUCACCAUGUACCGGGCACUAUUGAGAGCUCUCUAUAUAAAGCUCACUUACUCCUCCGAUCAGAUCUGUGGUGGGAACUAUUGCUAUUCAGAAAUGAAGAAACUGCU